UACGCAGGGGGCUAGCGUUGUCCGGAAUCAUUGGGCGUAAAGCGCGUGUAGGCGGCCCGGUAAGUCCGCUGUGAAAGUCCAGGGCUCAACCCUGGAAUGCCGGUGGAAACUGUCGGGCUAGAGUCCGGAAGAGGCGAGUGGAAUUCCUGGUGUAGCGGUGAAAUGCGCAGAUAUCAGGAGGAACACCAAUGGCGAAGGCAGCUCGCUGGGACGGUACUGACGCUGAGACGCGAAAGCGUGGGGAGCAAACAGG
rnacentral:rRNA from 1 species